rnacentral:lncRNA from 1 species
CACUAGGUGCGGAGAAGUCGGUGGUGCUCGUCAUUCGUCUGGAGGUUGCUACCGAGCGACAAAUCUGUGGUGUUGCUGUGUUGACGCGCCAUCGGCAUUUAUGUUUAUUUCCUCCUCGAUCUCUUGCUCUCGUUGCUAAUCUUGUUGUCGACGAAAUUAGAUAGAGGUGGUUGCGGUCAGAGCGGCUCAAGCUUGCUCUUACAUCGGCUUGCGUAGCGGCUUGGCUGUUACUAUCGCCUCUUGAUUGAUGCAACAGUGUUGAUGGUGAUUACCUGCGCCAUUUUUAAUUUUGUUUUUUAUUAGUAUCAAUUGACUUGAUUGUGUUCAGGUGGUGGACUAAAGUUCUGUAGUUACGGUGGUCAAUCAGAGCUGUGGUCUUUCUUCUGGAAUUGAUUGUCGACAACUCAAGAGAGUGGUUGUUGGUUUCGUGGCGACCGCAUCAAAAUGUAGUAUUUUUUGUAGGGCAGACGAAAUUGAAUCAGAGCAAGUCUGGUGUGAUUUGUUGCGAGAUUGUGGGUGCACAAGGCUUGGAUGUUUGACGGCGCCAAGGUGUUCUGCCUUGUUUCAAUUGUGCUCCACUAAUUACACUUAAUUGCCCAGUAGAACCUCCGCCCAGCAUAGCUUCUUCAACAACCUGACUCAUUACACAGUCAGCAACGAUGUGCACUUGAGAAUACUGAUAAGGACCAAAAUCUUAAGGAUUUGAAGCAACACCAGCGAGCCAGCACCCACCUUGAGAGUAAUUGACCUUCUGCUUGAAGUCCAAAAGAAGUUAGAGUAGACGACCCCCGGCACAAGGGCCUGCCAUUGGGUAAGUUUCUAAAUUGUCAAAGUAGCUGCAGUUUCUAUAGGAGGAACUCAAAAUUAGAAUAUGUCUUGCAGUUCAGUUCUGAUAAAAGAAGGCCUUCAAGGACGCCAAGUAUGUAGUUGAGAAGGUUGUCGAGAUUGAAGUCUGAACUCCUACUAGCAAUAGUCCGACUAUGAUUUCAAGCUUUGGUGGAUUGUGAGUUGUCCACACGGCUUCAACAUUUAGCCUGAUUAUAAGGGAAUCCCAUCCCAGAGGCUCUGACAAUUCAAAAGGAAAUUGGCCGAGGAACUAUCCACUUCGAAUGAAAAUCCAUCGUAAGUAAUAUUCAUGUAAAGAUACUGAUUUUUACGAAUGAAAUUUGCUUGGCCGAAUUUAGGUUAACUUG